UACGAAGGGAGCUAGCGUUGUUCGGAAUCGCUGGGCGUAAAGCGCACGUAGGCGGAUGUGUCAGUCAGGGGUGAAAUCCCGGAGCUCAACUUCGGAACUGCCCUUGAUACAGCACGUCUUGAGUCCGGAAGAGGUGGGUGGAAUUCCUAGUGUAGAGGUGAAAUUCGUAGAUAUUAGGAAGAACACCGGUGGCGAAGGCGGCCCACUGGUCCGGUACUGACGCUGAGGUGCGAAAGCGUGGGGAGCAAACAGG
rnacentral:rRNA from 1 species